ACGACAACGAUGCGCGGGUAUCUUGGAGACAUGCGUGUGUUACCGCUAGAGUAUACUAUUCUAAUUUUAGAAAACGGCCUAUUCUAGAGUAACACAUUUAUCUCCGAUAUCGAAACUUAAUCAAAAACAGUUGGCAAAGAUAUCGCAGUUAUUUCUAAAUAGACUGUUUGCCAUUUUGAUGUAUUUAAUACCAUAUCUGUCUUAUUGCAAUAGAACGUCGAGAUAAUUUUGACAAGCAUGCAUUCUGUACGGUUGCUGUCAGGAUAUGAUAUGCCGACAGUGGGACUUGGGACAUGGCAGUCUAAACCAGAAGAGAUCGAAACUGUUGUAAGCACAGCUUUGGAAUGCGGCUACAGGCAUAUCGAUACAGCGUCAAAUUAUAAUAACGAAGAAGCGAUUGGAAAAGCCUUAAAAAAAUGGUUUGAAAAAGGUGGCACUAGAGAGGAACUUUAUAUCACGACAAAGUUGCCUCACUUUGGGAAUCGACCAUCCGACGUGGAAAAAUUCAUCAAGUUGUCAUUAGAGAAGCUUGGCUUAGAUUACUUAGACAUGUACCUUAUUCAUUUGCCAUUUGCAUUUAUGUUCGAUGAAAAGACGGGUAGUGCAGCGACCCAUGAAGAUGGAAGUUAUGUACUAGACUUUGAUACAGAUCCUGUGUCAGUAUGGAAGGAAAUGGAGGAACAAGUUAAAUCAGGACGUACUAGAUCCAUAGGUUUGAGCAACUUUAACGAGGAACAAAUUAUGACUAUAUGGGAAAACGCGCAGAUUAAACCGAGUAAUUUACAGGUGGAAUUGCACGCGUAUAUGCAGCAGAAAUCAAUUCGAGAUUUGUGCAAAAAGCACAAUAUUGUUAUAACGGGUUACAGUCCGUUGGGCUCUCCGGCCGCAAAGACGCACUUUGAGACAAAAUAUAAAUACACUUUAGAAAAAUCUCCCGACUUAUUAACCCAUCCGAUCAUACAAAACAUCGCCACGAGACAAAAAAAGACAACGGCGCAAGUUUUAUUACGUUAUUUACUGCAACUGGGUAUCGUAAUUAUUCCCAAGAGCUCGUCCCCCGAAAGAAUCAAGUCAAAUAUCGAUUUAUUCGAUUUUGAAUUAACAGAAGAUGAUAUGAAAGCUUUGAAUACAUUAGAUAAAGGUGUUAAUGGGAGAAUUUUUAACUUCUUAUUCUUUAAAGGAAUUCAAGAUCAUCCUCAAUAUCCAUUUAAGGACGAACUUCCAUAAUUGUAAAUUAACACACGGUCAUUAGUUUUCUAUCAAAAUAGUUGAAAAAGAAUUAUGUAACAUACGCAACAAAAGCAUAACGUUAUACAUACGCAUUAAAAAUGUUUUUGUUGUUCUCUUCAAUGCAGUCUGUACAACAUUUUACGUUGCAAACGAUGUUGCAGUUCACCACGACGUAUCAUUCAUACCUGCUAAUGAUCCAGACAUUGCUGCUUCUAACGUAGACACUUGGAAGAGCCUUAGAGCUUCGUUUACAUGAACUUCAGUAGCAAAGGGUUGCAUCUGCAUUUUGGCCAAUGCUUCGGAGAUUCGUACGAUAGCCUCAAGCUGCCGGACUGUUAUAGGUAUAGACAAUCUUUUCUCGGCAUCUUUCUCAUGUUCUCUAGUACCAGCUCGCAUCAUUACAUAACGAUUUUUAAUUUUUCUCCUGCCUCUGCACUGAGUCUUGGACCACAACGGCUAUAUUACAAGAAAAAAAUAAUAGAGGCAUAUGGAAUAUUUUAUAUAAAGUUUAUAUAUACGUUUGUACGAUAAACAAUAAGAUAUGUAACAAACUUACGUUCUGCAAUAAUUUAUAUACUUCUUGAGAAUGUGUACAGGUAUCUCUCCUUCUACUGAUUGUUCUGUGAUCUGGCCAGCAUUACAAUGAAUGUUCAAAACGUGUUUGGCCAGUGUUAUAUCUCUGUUGUGCUCAUGCUCAUCUUUAACAAUAAAUAUCGUAUCGAAACGGGAUAGUAUCGUCGGCAUGAAA